UACGAGGGGGGGCGAGCGUUUGUUCGGAAUUAUUGGGCGUAAAGGGUGCGUAGGCGGUUUGGUAAGUCUGAUGUGAAAUCUAUGGGCUCAACUCAUAGUCUGCAUCGGAAACUGCCGGGCUUGAGUAUGGGAGAGGUGAGUGGAAUUCCUGGUGUAGCGGUGAAAUGCGUAGAUAUCAGGAGGAACACCUGUGGCGAAAGCGGCUCACUGGACCAUAACUGACGCUGAUGCACGAAAGCUAGGGGAGCAAACAGG
rnacentral:rRNA from 1 species